AUUGAACGCUGGCGGCAGGCCUAACACAUGCAAGUCGAGCGGCAGCGGGAAGUAGCUUGCUACUUUGCCGGCGAGCGGCGGACGGGUGAGUAAUGUCUGGGAAACUGCCUGAUGGAGGGGGAUAACUACUGGAAACGGUAGCUAAUACCGCAUAAUGUCGCAAGACCAAAGAGGGGGACCUUCGGGCCUCUUGCCAUCAGAUGUGCCCAGAUGGGAUUAGCUAGUAGGUGGGGUAACGGCUCACCUAGGCGACGAUCCCUAGCUGGUCUGAGAGGAUGACCAGCCACACUGGAACUGAGACACGGUCCAGACUCCUACGGGAGGCAGCAGUGGGGAAUAUUGCACAAUGGGCGCAAGCCUGAUGCAGCCAUGCCGCGUGUAUGAAGAAGGCCUUCGGGUUGUAAAGUACUUUCAGCGGGGAGGAAGGUGUUGAGAUUAAUAACCUCAGCAAUUGACGUUACCCGCAGAAGAAGCACCGGCUAACUCCGUGCCAGCAGCCGCCGUAAUAC
rnacentral:rRNA from 1 species